UACGUAGGGGGCAAGCGUUAUCCGGAUUUACUGGGUGUAAAGGGAGCGCAGACGGAACUGCAAGUCUGAUGUGAAAGCCCGGGGCUCAACCGCGGGACUGCAUCGGAUACUGUGGAUCUGGAGUGCCGGAGGGACAAGCGGAAUUCCUGGUGUAGCGGUGAAAUGCGUAGAUAUCAGGAGGAACACCGGCGGCGAAGGCGGCUUGCUGGACGGCAACUGACGUUGAGGCUCGAAGGCGUGGGGAGCAAACAGGAUUAGAUACCCU
rnacentral:rRNA from 1 species